rnacentral:rRNA from 1 species
UACGUAGGGGGCAAGCGUUGUCCGGAUUACUGGGCGUAAAGCGCCUGUAGGCGGCCUGUCAAGUCCGGCCUGAAAGCCCCCCGCUCAACGGGGGAGGGUGGCUGGAAACUGGCAGGCUUGAGGGCGAGAGAGGAGGGUGGAAGUUCCUGGUGUGAGCGGUGAAAUGCGUAGAGAUCAGGAGGAACACCCGUGGCGAAGGCGGCCCUCUGGCUCGACCCUGACGCUGAGAGGCGAAAGCGUGGGGAGCGAACGGG